rnacentral:lncRNA from 1 species
CUGAAGUACUGAAUAACUGUUAGUACCUAAAUAGACAGUGCCAGGUGUUCUGGGGCUAAGCUGAUGCUUAAGUAGUGGCUGACAUGUGAGGUGGGGAGUGUUGGUAGAGGCUGCUCUUGGCUGCAGGAAGUUUCAACAGGCCUCACAGGUUUGGAAGUGAGAAGGGAAGUCAUCUGAAAACAGGACCCUGUCCAGCAGCUUAUCAAGGAUGCAUAUGUGGUGGAAAGUUUUACCUCGCCUUGAAGUUUGCAGCUUUAUUAGAAAGUCCUACACUGGGACAACCUGCAAAAUGUAGCCUUUCCUCAGAACUGCUUUGUCACGUGCUAAGCUUCCUGAAGUUGCUUGACAGCCUACUGGGAAAGAUGCAGCAGUAUUCGCUGGAAAAACACAGAAAAAUGAUGGGAAUACUUCUCAAUCAUUUUAAUGAAACUCCUACAUGUGCUAUUCAUAAAAUGGCAUAACUUUAGGAAUUUAUAGAGGAAAGAAGUAUUCUGAUGUGUGUGAUGCCAGUGAAACAUUGCAGGCAGUGGGUGUAGAGAGGCAGCUAGUCAAAUAAUUGUGGAGAGAGGUCUCCUUUUUGCCUGGCCACUCUGCUGCCACUCAGCCUAACUUUUGCAGGCACACCUUUGACUCUCCAUUGGAAGCUUUCAUUCAGCCCUCCAUUCAAACCCAUCUCUGCCUCAUUCAAUCAAAUAAACACUCCUUGUGAAUAAAAGACA